rnacentral:rRNA from 1 species
UACGUAGGGGGCAAGCGUUGUCCGGAUUUAUUGGGCGUAAAGAGCGUGUAGGCGGCCAGGUAGGUCCGCUGUGAAAACUCGAGGCUCAACCUCGAGAUGUCGGCGGAAACCAUCUGGCUAGAGUCCGGAAGAGGAGAGUGGAAUUCCAGGUGUAGCGGUGAAAUGCGUAGAUAUCUGGAGGAACACCGGUGGCGAAGGCGGGUCUCUGGGCCGAUACUGACGCUGAGGAGCGAAAGCGUGGGGAGCGAACAGG